GCCGAGCCGAGCCGAGCCGAGCCGAGCCCGCUGGCCCCGCAGCACGCUGUACUGUAGAAGUUACUUCGCGAUAUCGGCUGCUUGAUGCACGCAAAUAAGAGUCCCGUUGCAGGGCAGCCCGAUAGCCAGUCCAGGUUUUACAAUCACUAAUAAGAGUCCCGUUGCCAGUCCAGGUUUUACAAUCACUAAUAAGAGUCCCGUUGCAGAGCAGCCCGAUAGCCAGUCCAGGUUUUACAAUCACUAAUAAGAGUCCCGUUGCAGAGCAGCCCGAUAGCCAGUCCAGGUUUUACAAUCACUAAUAAGAGUCCCGUUGCAGAGCAGCCCGAUAGCCAGUCCAGGUUUUACAAUCACUAAUAAGAGUCCCGUUGCAGAGCAGCCCGAAGCCAGUCCAGGUUUUACAAUCACUAAUAAGAGUCCCGUUGCCAGUCCAGGUUUUACAAUCACUAAUAAGAGUCCCGUUGCAGAGCAGCCCGAUAGCCAGUCCAGGUUUUACAAUCACUAAUAAGAGUCCCGUUGCAGAGCAGCCCGAUAGCCAGUCCAGGUUUUACAAUCACUAAUAAGAGUCCCGUUGCAGAGCAGCCCGAUAGCCAGUCCAGGUUUUACAAUCACUAAUAAGAGUCCCGUUGCAGAGCAGCCCGAUAGCCAGUCCAGGUUUUACAAUCACUAAUAAGAGUCCCGUUGCAGAGCAGCCCGAAGCCAGUCCAGGUUUUACAAUCACUAAUAAGAGUCCCGUUGCAGAGCAGCCCGAUAGCCAGUCCAGGUUUUACAGUCACUAAUAAGAGUCCCGUUGCAGGGCAGCCUGACAGCCAGUCCAGGUUUUACAAUCACUAAUAAGAGUCCCGUUGCCAGUCCAGGUUUUACAAUCACUAAUAAGAGUCCCGUUGCAGGGCAGCCCGAUAGCCAGUCCAGGUUUUACAAUCACUAAUAAGAGUCCCGUUGCAGAGCAGCCUGACAGCCA